GAUUAUCGUAUCGAUAUCGAAAUCUAUAUUGAAAGUGAAAACUUCUGUAGACGGAAUAAAUUCAAUUAGCUAAAUUCGUUUUUACACAGUAUCCUUUGCAGCCAGUAAGAAUAAGCAAACAGAAAAUCAUGUGCGGCGGUUUCACCUGCUCAAAAAACGCGCUAAUAGCGCUCAACAUUUUGUAUGUGAUGAUUGGAUUCCUGCUGAUUGGAGUGGGCGUGUACGCGCGUGCCGCCUCCAUCGUGACCAACCUGCCGAUUGUGGGCGGGAUCCUGGCCUGCGGUGUCAUCCUCAUAUGCAUAUCCAUGCUGGGACUCGCCGGAGCCGUGAAGCACCACCAAGUGAUGCUCUUCUUCUACAUGAUCAUUCUGUUCAUGCUGUUCCUGAUCCAGUUCUCCAUCGCCAGUUCCUGUUUGGCCGUCAACUCCGAGCAGCAGCAGCAGUUCGCCGAGCAAGGAUGGAUGACGGUGCCCACGGAUUUGCGCAAACAGGUGCAGGACAGCCUGAAAUGCUGCGGAUUCAAUGCCACCGCACCGAGCACAUCUCCCGUGGUUCCUCCGCCAAAUGAGCCCUCAUGCGAGCUGAUCAAUCAACAGUGCUGUGCCCACUCCUCCGAGCCGGAUUGUCGCUGUGAACCGUGUGGACCCCUACUGGAGGACAAGAUCGAUUAUGCCUUCAAGUUGUGCGGCGGUCUGGGCAUCUUCUUCAGCUUCACUGAGUUCGUCGGCGUCUGGCUAACAGUUCGCUAUCGCAAUCAAAAGGAUCCGCGGGGCUUGCCCAGCGCUUUUCUCUAAAUUAGAAGCUAGUCGUGAAAGGGAUAAACAUUUUUCAGAUACAGAAACAUUCAAAACUUCUUUAGUGCAUGUAUUUCUGCUCUGUCUCUGCUAAAUGUUUAACGUUGCGAUGGAAGAUUUCAUGAGCCCUUGGGGCCGACAUACCAUACAUAUACAAGCAUCCUUUAUAUUUAUACCAUCUACAGAUAUAUAUAUAUAUUAAAUCACAUUGCCGCAGAACUAUGUACGUAAUGUGUUAGUUCGUAAUUGAUAUACAACUUUAGACAUAUAUACAUAUUAUAGAGAGAUAUAUAUAGAAGGAGAGAGCAAAGCGUUUAACCCAAAAACAAGCAAUCAGCUAAGAAACAUAUUUCCCUUUACUCUCAACACAUUUUCUUUAACACUUUCGACAAAAUUUGUACUAACACGAAUGCCUACUCUUUGACUAAGCAUAAAUCCAACAAGUGACCAAGGGUCCUGGCUGUUUUCCUGGCGCGUCGCUACCGCAACCAACAUGAUCCUUGCUAUCUUCCCGCACGCGCCGUUUUUCCGCACGAUUAUUUAUAUUGAACAGGCUGAAACUACAACAUGGAAAUGAAACAUUUUAGUCAAAGGGAUGAAGGCUGAAUUUUAAUUCUUACAAUCGCGUUUCCUAACACAAAUCGAAUGCAAACUGGAACAAAUGAUUACUCUUAAUAGAAGGAGCAGAAGAAGGUUGAGGAGUUAUAAAUGUGCUCAAAACUGCUGCUAUUAAGGAUAAUUUUAUUUUACUAUUCUACAUGCUUUUAUUGCACAAAGUUAUUUAAUUACGAAACCUCCAUUGAGAUUAUGUUUAGAUGUAAUAUUUUAAUCUAAGUUUAACUGUUUGAAUGUCCUUAGUUAGCUCUUAAUGCCUUUCUUUGCAACUCGCAACAAUCAUGAACGACUCGACGUGACUCGACCUCCACUCAAAACUACUGUACCAUUACGAGACAAACAUUUCAACAACCUGAUCUUACUGUAGAACUAACAACCAGUCAACAAUUGUAACUAGCAACGUAAUAAGUAUACAUCAACCUAUAUACAAACGUAAUUGCAUUAUUGCCCUCAAGGCGUAUAAACAAUACUCUAAAUGUUAGCUGUGUGUUAAACUUUAAACUAGCGAGAAAAAAAAAGCCCACAAAAUAACAAAAAAAAACAGUAAUCCUCUAUACAUAUACAUGUCAACAAUUAUACAAGUCUGUACGGAUAAUGCCCUACACAUAAGAAAACUGCUUCUUCAAUUUUUUCACUUCUUUUCCGCACUAGCUCGACUUUCUCUGCAGCUUAUCCUUCUCGACUUUUACCCUCGCCAAAUGCCAAACGCCAUCAGCCAUUAAAAACAAAUUGAAACACAUCACAACCAACACGCUACUUCCUCUACGCACACUUCACACUCACAUGAAAAUAGUUUUCCCAACAGUUUCCUUUCCAGUUUCUUUUCGAGCGACAAGUAAACCAUUAGAUAAUAUUCUCUGUAUUCUGUGCUGUGAUUGAAGUAAAUAUGAUCUUUAAAACAACAAAAGCAA